CCUACGGGCGGCAGCAGUGGGGAAUAUUGGACAAUGGGGGGAACCCUGAUCCAGCCAUGCCGCGUAUGUGAAGAAGGCCCUCGGGUUGUAAAGCACUUUCAGUGAGGAAGAACGCCUGGUGGUUAAUACCCAUCAGGAAAGACAUCACUCACAGAAGAAGCACCGGCUAACUCCGUGCCAGCAGCCGCGGUAAUACGGAGGGUGCGAGCGUUAAUCGGAAUUACUGGGCGUAAAGCGCGCGUAGGUGGCUUGAUAAGCCGGUUGUGAAAGCCCCGGGCUCAACCUGGGAACGGCAUCCGGAACUGUCAAGCUAGAGUGCAGGAGAGGAAGGUAGAAUUCCCGGUGUAGCGGUGAAAUGCGUAGAGAUCGGGAGGAAUACCAGUGGCGAAGGCGGCCUUCUGGACUGACACUGACACUGAGGUGCGAAAGCGUGGGUAGCAAACAGGAUUAGAUACCCUGGUAGUC
rnacentral:rRNA from 1 species